rnacentral:rRNA from 1 species
GAUCUUGGCUUGGAGUGAAUGCUGGACUAACAUAUAACACAUGCAAAUUGAACGAGUUGAUGUUAUUUUAACAUUAAUUAGUAGUGUCGUGGUGAGUAGCGUGAUAAUAUAAGUUAUAGUUUAUUAAAUAUAAUUAUAUACUUUUCUAUAAAUAUAUUAUCGCACAGGACUAGAUAUACUUAUACGUAAGUGUCUAUAAUCCUUAGUUGAUUUGGGAGAAGAAUCAUCCACAUGGGGUAUGCAAACCACCCUACCUUAUGGCAGCAGUGAAGAAUGUUAGGCAAUGUACGAAAGUAUGACCUAUUGAAUUAGCGGAAAUGAAGAAGGCUAUAGCAGUUGUAAAGUUUGAUCGUAUAAUAAAAUUAUGAUAUUAUAUUAUAAAGAGAAGUCACGGCAAACAUAGGUGCCAGCAGCCGCGGUAAUACCUUAGUGACAAGCAUUAUUCGUUAUAAUUGGGU